AUGGCUGAAGAGUCCAAUUGGAUUGUGACUCUGGUGAAGAGCCUACUGGGAUUGAGACUCUGGAGGAGAGUCCCACUGGACUAAAACUCUACUAUUAAUAAAGAAUUAAUUAGUAAUUAGAUUGCUAAUUGAUUCAAUUUGAUUGAGCAAAGAACUUUGGAUCAAAUCUAAUUGAAUUAGAUUCAGUUUGACUUAGAUUGGAUUCAAUUUGAUCAAGCCUAAUUGCAAGAAAAAUUUGAUCCAG
rnacentral:lncRNA from 1 species